GACGGUCCACCAUUCGGUCCAUCACUGAGUCUUUUGGGAGGCUAUGUUCUGGUUAAGCCUCACGAUCUACCUUGUGAUCCGUCGUAAGACUGAUGGUCCAUCAUUAUGACCGUCAAAUUCCUUUUUUGCCACUUUUUCCAAGUUUAUUCUGUGGUUCACUCCUUUGCCUGAAACACUAAAAAAACACAUUAAAUACCACUUUGGUUUCUUGAAAGCAUACAAUUUUCCCAAGAAGAUGAUGCUAAAUGUUCCGUAAAAAACUGGAACAUCAACCACACGGCCAUCAUGCCGGGGACACGUCAUUCAAAUUUCUGCCGUAUCAACUUUUGAUGAUAGGAUAGUGGCCCACCACAGUGCUGAUGGGUGACGAAGUAUAAGGGUUUAAUUUUCGAGAGGGAUCUUAAGAAAUGACUACCAUAUCUAAGAAAUAUAGCAGGUGCACAAAUUACUCAAUCCUAACACGGGGAGGUAGUGACAAUGAAUAACAAUAUUGGGCUCAAUGAGUCUGGUAAUUGGAAUGAGUACAAUCUAAAUCUCUUAAUGAGGAUCCAUUGGAGGGAAAAUAUAGUACCAGCAGCCACAGUAAUUCCAUAUCCAAUAGUUUAUAUAUUAAGUUGUUACAAUUAAAAAUUUCAUUAUCUUACUUUGGGGUGGACCGUCGGCCUACCUAUGGUGUGCGUCGGUCAUCUCAUCCCUUUUGUUGGCAAUGUGCUCCUGGCCUUAACUAGCUGGGCCAUGCCUCUGGCACUCUUACUUUGAAGAAAUUAAAGUGCUCGAAGCAAGCCUACACUCUAUAUACAUUAGCAUGGGAUAACAUUUUAGUAUUUUGAUCCUAUUACGUUGGCCUUCGGGAUUAGAGUAAUGAUCAAUAGGGACACUCGGGGAAUUUGUAUUUCAUAGUCAAAGGUGAAAUUCUUUGUUUUAUGAAAGACGAAAAACUGUGAAAGAAUUUUCCAAGGAUGUUUUCAUAAAUCAAGAAUGAAAGUUGGGGGCUCGAAGAUUAUCAGAUAUUGUCCUAGUAUCAAACAUUAAUGAUGCCAACCAGGGAUCGGCGGAUGAUGUUUUUAGGACUCCCAUGGCACCUUAUGAGAAAUCAAAGUUUUUGGGUCUUGUGGGGAGUAUGGUAACAAUACUGAAACUUAAAGGAAUUGAUGAAAGGGUACCACCAGAAGUGGUAACUGCAGCUUAAUUUGACUCAACACGGGGAAACUUACCAGGUUCAGACAUAGUAAGGACUGACAUAUUAAGUUCUUUUUCUUAAUUCUUUGGGUUGUGGUGCAUGUCUGUUGUUAUAUUGUGAAACGAUUAGUCUAGUUAAUUCCACUAACAUAUGAGACCUCAGCCCACUAAUAGAUAUGCAGAGGUACCCCUUUACGACAAGAUUCUUAGAAGGACUAUGACUUUUUAGGCCAUGGAAGUUUGAGGAAGUAAUAGGGUUGUAAUGACCUUAGAUAUUUUGGGUUGCACACUCGCUACACUAAUCUAUUCACCAAGUUUAUAGCCUUGACCGACAGGUCUGGGUAAUCUUUGAAAUUUCAUCAUGAUAGGGAUAGAUCAUUUCAAUUCUUGGUUUCUAAUGAGGAAUUCCUAGUAAUUGUGAGCCAUUAUCUUGUGUUGACUAAUCCCUUCUCUUUGUACACAUCACCUGUCGCUCCUACCAAUUUAAUAAUCUAGUGAAAUAUUCGAAUCAACGCCGGUUCAUUGAAUAGGAUGUCGUGAGAAGUCCAUUGAACCUUAUUAUUUAGAGGUAGAGAAAGUCAUAACAAAGUUUCCGUAGAUGAACCUACUGAAG
rnacentral:rRNA from 1 species